GUAAAUCUCCCCAAGGGCAGCAAUGAUGCAUGUGUUCUCAUUCACCUGGUUGAUGCACUUGAGAACAAUGUUUGUACUUCUGUCAUGGUCACGUUGUAUUCUAUGAACCCGUGGUCAUGGAUUGGUGAGGAGAGGAAUAAGGACCACAAGUUUACUAUGGGAAAUAAAAGGUUAAGCACAUCAUCAGUGUCCUGCGCCAUUUAGGUCCAUACAAAGAAGAUGUAAUGAAAGAAUUUGCACCUCAACAAGAUGGUGGAAAUGUAAAACAUUGAAAGGAAC